AGAACGAACGCUGGCGGCAUGCCUAAUACAUGCAAGUCGAACGAACACUUCGGUGUUAGUGGCGCACGGGUGCGUAACGCGUGGGAAUCUGCCCUUGGGUUCGGAAUAACAGUUGGAAACGACUGCUAAUACCGGAUGAUAUCGAAAGAUCAAAGAUUUAUCGCCCAGGGAUGAGCCCGCGUAGGAUUAGCUAGUUGGUGAGGUAAAGGCUCACCAAGGCGACGAUCCUUAGCUGGUCUGAGAGGAUGACUCAGCCACACUGGGACUGACGACACGGCCCAGACUCCUACGGGAGCAGCAGUAGGGAAUAGUCGGACGAAGUGGGCGCGAAGCCUAGGAUCCAGCAAUGGCCCGCGUGAGUAGA
rnacentral:rRNA from 1 species